ensembl:lncRNA
GUUUCUAAUAUGAAAUCACUGAAGUCUAGUACGUUAGGUGCUUUAUGAUCUGAAAUGCAGUGGGGUGGGGGCAUUAGGGAAUUUCUGUUUGCUUUCUUCUGCUGUGCCUCUUCUGAUUUCUGCCUUGGUUUGUGCUUUUUUAGAAAAAGUCAGUACUAGCAGGUCUUUUACUGUCUGUCUGUUACUACGUUUGAAUUCACAACCUUUUGAACAAAAUGUUGUUUUUGCUUUCUUAGGAUUGCCAAAAUGUUCUGUGUGGAUUUUACUAGUAAUCAGACACACUUACAUAAACUUCUUUCCAGAAAUUAAAAAAAUGCAUAUGCAUUCUCUUAAUUGUGAUUGGGUAAAAACAGCUUAAAUUACUUUUCUUUUUUUGCACUAGGAAAUCUGCUCUCUGAACAUUUUCAGUGAGAAACUUCUUAUAAUAGCACUUUUAUUUUAUACUCUUAUGAUUUGUGAAUAACGAUACAAAGGCCAUACCAACCCUACAUUUAACAAGGUAGUUAUGCAAGUCCAAAUUUUGAAACUAUUUAAACUACUUAUAUUAGAACUUUUGAUAUAUACUGAAAUACAGAUUAUUGCUUAAUUAAUGCCAUUUUCCCCAGAGACGAAUAUCUAGAAAAGACCAAAACAUCAUUUGGGAUAUAUACAUUAAUGAAAAACUAAUGUUGAUAUCUAUAAAACCUUCUAUUGUCAGCCACACAGACAUAAUAUGUUUCAGAAUUUUCUGUUUCCUUUAAAAGAUAAGACCCUGACUUCUUUUAAUUUUUCUGAAUAAAGGAUUUUUUAAACUUUAAAAUUUCAAAUAAUAAAUUUAAAAUAUUUUCUAAGUCCUGAGUAUGUUAUGAUCUUUUGAAUUAGAAAUUAUAUUUACCAAAUUAUUUUCUAAAUGCAUUUAACUGUUUAGCAGGGAGAAUAAGGAAGCGUAAUCGCCCACCAGUGCUGAUAAUGCUGGAGGGACCAGAUUAGUCUGAGCUCUUUUUCCUCUUAGAUCAGUAUAUUCUGAGAUUAUAAACCUCAGACGCAAUUGUGCCAGGAUUCCAACUCUUCCUUCCCUGUGAUGUUGCCCGUGAUGUUCUGUGCCUGGGUAUCUGUUGAUAUGCUUCAAGCGACAGUAGAAUUCAAACCAAAAAUAUGAAUACAGUGUCCCACCUGAUUUUAAAGGAUUGGGUUUAGAGUGUGCAUCAGGGAAUAUUAAUAUACACUUGCUUCGUGUGAAUGUCUUGUGGGGGUAUUAUUAGCUUGGUUUGGGGGCUUGUUUUUGGUUUUUGACUAGUGCCAAAAUAGUGCCUUCUCUGUACAUUUUCUACCUAACAUUUUCUAGCUUGUUCUAAAAUAUCAAGGGAAGAAGUACCAAAGUUCACGUAGGAACUAAUGCCAGCACAGGUCAUUGAUUUUCAGACACAUAGAUGUGUGAAAAUAACGUUGUUUGAGUUCAUUGUUUAGCCGAGUUUCUUUUUUUAUCUCCUUGUAUAAUUUUAUUUAAACAUUUUUUAAUGGCUUUCUGGUUUCUGAAUUUUGAAAGGCCCGAUCUACUGUUGUUGGGGUUGUUGGUUUAGUGGUUGGUUUUUGUAACAUUCGUUAUUGUUUUUAUGUACACAGUUUAGUCUUGUUCAUUUCAAAUGCGUUUUGUUAUGGCUCAACUCAGUUGGCAACCCUGGGAGCAGCACUAUUUUAGCUUUUAUGCACCUUAGCUGAAGCCACUGCCACUAUCGCUGGCUUUCAAGAGCCUUCAGUGACCACUGGCAGCAGCUCCAUGGGGAUCAUAACCAGGACCGUGGGUCUGGCAGGCUGCAAAGUGUGAGUGUCUAUAGCUGCCUUUUGUUGGGGAGUCUUGGGAUGACAGGGUAGGACAUGAAGGGAAAAACUAAAGUAGUUUGGGGUCCUUCAUUUCCGUUCCAAAUAUCCCAUGAGUACAAGGUAAAUGAUAAGGACCAAGGAUCCUCUCCGACUCAUGGGAAGGAUGGCUGCUCCCUGGAGCUGCACCGUAGGUCCUGGCCCCUGCAGUUUCUGCACCAGCACCAACAUCUAUGUGGGGCAGAGCACACGGGCCACGGCUCCGUUGGUAAAGAACCUUGUAUUGCCAGCGUGGCAGGUUUCUCUGGCCCGUGCCUGGUUAACAGGCUCUUCAUCUUUGGUAUCCGUUUGUUUCAUUGCUUUCUUUUGUUAUCAUUAUACUUAACAGAAACCAUUGAUAGGGCCUAAAACUCUACCAAAAUUCUAUAUCUGUAAAAACCAACAGAUACUUUGGUCUUACUCAAAUACAGAGUUUUUUGUGUGUGUACGAUUGUAGAUAAUUUUAAAUUUACAUGUUUUUGAUGAUAAUCAGUGUUCCUUUUUGCUUAUAACAUUGGAUUAUUUUUUAGAAUUUGUAAUAAAUAAAAACUGCUGCUGCUUUACCACUGUAAUAUGUGCUUUCUAACCAUGUAUUUUUAAAAUAAAUUUUAAUAUGACUUA